UACGUAGGGUGCGAGCGUUGUCCGGAAUUAUUGGGCGUAAAGAGCUUGUAGGCGGUUCGUCGCGUCUGCCGUGAAAAUUCGAGGCUCAACCUCGAACUUGCGGUGGGUACGGGCAGACUAGAGUGUGGUAGGGGAGACUGGAAUUCCUGGUGUAGCGGUGAAAUGCGCAGAUAUCAGGAGGAACACCGAUGGCGAAGGCAGGUCUCUGGGCCACUACUGACGCUGAGGCGCGAAAGCUAGGGGAGCAAACGGG
rnacentral:rRNA from 1 species